UUCUUAGAAGUUUGUUGGGCUGUUCACAACUUGCCGGCAUGUAGGGAACAGCACCUGUUGUGUAUCUCGGUUUUCUUGUCUACACAGGGAAUAAAACGCUGCCCCUUAAACAAGUUUUAUUUUGUUUUGCUUUUAGUUUCUUUUCUGCCUCAUAGAGGACAACAAGCCUAGCAGCUUCUGGAAGAUGAAGAACAAUGCAGGAAUGGGCAGCCAAGAAUCACCAACAGCAUGAAAGAUGGGCUCCAAAGCAAAUCAGCACAGCAAUGAACCUACAGGAUUAAGUAUGAAUGGGUAGAAGAACUAUGGGAAACAAGAGUGGAGGCAAAGACACCAUUUGAAAGCCAUUGUAGAUCUUCAGGCAAUACAAAUGCUACAUUCAAAAGUGCAAUUCCUGUUGUGUGGGUCAUUUAACAUCCAUGACAAGGGAGUCCUAAUGCUGUAGAGCAAGGGAUGCAGAGUGUUUCAGCAUCAUUUGGAUAAAGCAACUAGCAACUUUAACCACCAUUCUUUCAACUACUUCAUCUUAUCAGCAAACCAACUGGCAACAAGAAAUGAAGCUCAUUGCUUAUUUCAGGAUUAGAAUACUUCAGCUGCAAAAUGUGAGUAGUUUGAUAUUUAAAUAUUAAAUGACCAAAACCUUUUACUUUUGAAGCUUAAGAAAGUAACACUUGUAUUGUUCCACUUGGCAUCCCAUCUAGACCUAUCUCUUGUGUGUAUGAAUGGUCUGGGGUAUAUUAAGUAGAUAUUUUCUACUAAUGAAAUUAGAAUUGCAAUAAAAAUAUUAUGAUGAUGAUGAUGUCAUUUUAUUGAGCACUUAUUUUUUUUAAAUGAGGUUAAUCAGUCUCUGUGCUCCACAUACUCCAUCAUUAAAAUAAGACUACUUUCUUUUACUCAUUCAUUCAUUUAUUAUUUCAAUAGGUUUAGGAGUACACGUGGUUUUUGGUUACAUUAAUAAAUUGUAUAGUGGUGAAGUCUGGACUUUUAGUGUACUUGUCACCCAAAUAGUGUACAUUGUACCCAAUAGUUAAUUUUACCUCCCUCAUCCCCUUCCCACUCACCCACUUUCUGAGCCUCCAGUGUCCACUAUGCUACUCUAUAUGCCCCUCUGUAUCCACAGCUUAGCUCCUACUUGUAUGUGAGAACACGCAGUAUUAGGUUUUCUGUUCCUUAGUUACUUUGCUUAGGAUAAUGGCCUCCGGUUCUAUCCAAGUUGCUGCAAAAGACACUACUUUGUUCUUUUUUAUGGC
rnacentral:lncRNA from 10 species